AGCAGCCGCGGUAAUUCCAGCUCCAAUAGCGUAUAUUAAAGUUGUUGCAGUUAAAAGCUCGUAGUUGAAUUUCGGGGUUAGUAGGCUGGUCAUGCCUCCGGUAUGUACUGGUCUCACUGAUUCCUCCUUCCUGAUGAACCGUAAUGCCAUUAAUUUGGUGUUGCGGGGAAUUUGGACUGUUACUUUGAAAAAAUUAGAGUGUUAAAGCAGGCUAACGCUUGAAUACAUUAGCAUGGAAUAAUGAAAUAGGACGUUCGAUCCUAUUUUGUUGGUUUCUAGGAUUGACGUAAUGAUUAAUAGGGGAUUAGUUGGGGGGCAUUUAGUAUUCAAUUGUCAGAGGUGAAAUUCUUGGAUUUAUUGAAGACUAACUACUGCGAAAGCAUUUGCCAAGGAUGUUUUCAUUAAUCAAGAACGAAGUUAGGGGAUCGAAGACGAUCAGAUACCGUCGUAGUCUUAACCAUAAAACUAUGCCGACUAGGGAUCCGGAGAUGUUAAUUUUUUUAAAUGACUCAUUCGGCGC
rnacentral:rRNA from 1 species